rnacentral:rRNA from 1 species
AUUGAACGCUGGCGGCAGGCUUAACACAUGCAAGUCGAGCGGGGUGAUGGUGCUUGCACUAUCACUUAGCGGCGGACGGGUGAGUAAUGCUUAGGAAUCUGCCUAUUAGUGGGGGACAACAUCUCGAAAGGGAUGCUAAUACCGCAUACGUCCUACGGGAGAAAGCAGGGGAUCACUUGUCACCUUGCGCUAAUAGAUGAGCAUAAGUCGGAUUAGCUAGUUGGUGGGGUAAAGGCCUACCAAGGCGACGAUCUGUAGCGGGUCUGAGAGGAUGAUCCGCCACACUGGGACUGAGACACGGCCCAGACUCCUACGGGAGGCAGCAGUGGGAAAUAUUGGACAAUGGGGGGAACCCCGAUCCAGCCAUGCCGCGUGUGUGAAGAAGGCCUUAUGGUUGUAAAGCACUUUAAGCGAGGAGGAGGCUCUUUUGGUUAAUACCCAAGAUGAGUGGACGUUACUCGCAGAAUAAGCACCGGCUAACUCUGUGCCAGCCGCCGCGGUAA